AAGGAGCAUCUAGACCGCCAAACCUGGUUUGGUGGUCCAGGGCCAUUACGUCGGCAUACGUCCGGCGGUGGUUGCUCAUGGGUGGAACGUUGAUUAUUCGGCACUCUUGACUGUCUUCUCCUUCCAGUACUGUCCUUCGGGGCGUGGAACGUUGAGGGGAGCGGCGAGAGGGUCGGGCACGCUGUUGGGUGUCUGAGGGUACGGCCGGAAGGCUGCCUUCAGUGCCGGCCCCGGUAAAAAUCUGCUUCGGUGGGUUGUGACGGGUGGUUGGUCGUUG
rnacentral:misc_RNA from 1 species